ensembl:snRNA U6 U6 spliceosomal RNA
GUGCUCACUUCGGCAGCACGUACACUAAAAUUGUAACAAUACAGAGAUGAUUAGCACGGCCCCUGCAAGGAUGACGUGCAAAUUCGUGAAGCAUUCCAUAUUAAA